rnacentral:other from 1 species
UUUUCCCUGCGGUGUUCGCGAAGGCAUAUAUUCCUUUGAACCAAUAAGUUCGCUUUAGGUUGCCGGGAGUUGCAAUGGGCGCGAGCGUCUUAAUCUGUAAGAUGCACCCGAAAUUGUCCGAGGUGACCGCCUUGUCCACAAGGUUCAAGCGGAUUCAGCCUGAACGGCACACGUGGGGAUUCU